rfam:Heterocephalus glaber contig9878, whole genome shotgun sequence.
GUCUAUGGCCAUACCACCCUAAAUACGCCAGAUCUCAUCUGAUCUCGGAAGCUAAGCAGGGUCGGGCCUGGUUAGUACUUGGAUGGGAGAGAAAUUAAGCAACCAGCUCAAAGUUAUACAAC